rnacentral:rRNA from 1 species
GGGGAGGAGCCCAGAGCCUGAAUCAGUGUGUGUGUUAGUGGAAGCGUCUGGAAAGGCGCGCGAUACAGGGUGACAGCCCCGUACACAAAAAUGCACAUGCUGUGAGCUCGAUGAGUAGGGCGGGACACGUGGUAUCCUGUCUGAAUAUGGGGGGACCAUCCUCCAAGGCUAAAUACUCCUGACUGACCGAUAGUGAACCAGUACCGUGAGGGAAAGGCGAAAAGAACCCCGGCGAGGGGAGUGAAAAAGAACCUGAAACCGUGUACGUACAAGCAGUGGGAGCACGCUUAGGCGUGUGACUGCGUACCUUUUGUAUAAUGGGUCAGCGACUUAUAUUCUGUAGCAAGGUUAACCGAAUAGGGGAGCCGAAGGGAAACCGAGUCUUAACUGGGCGUUAAGUUGCAGGGUAUAGACCCGAAACCCGGUGAUCUAGCCAUGGGCAGGUUGAAGGUUGGGUAACACUAACUGGAGGACCGAACCGACUAAUGUUGAAAAAUUAGCGGAUGACUUGUGGCUGGGGGUGAAAGGCCAAUCAAACCGGGAGAUAGCUGGUUCUCCCCGAAAGCUAUUUAGGUAGCGCCUCGUGAAUUCAUCUCCGGGGGUAGAGCACUGUUUCGGCAAGGGGGUCAUCCCGACUUACCAACCCGAUGCAAACUGCGAAUACCGGAGAAUGUUAUCACGGGAGACACACGGCGGGUGCUAACGUCCGUCGUGAAGAGGGAAACAACCCAGACCGCCAGCUAAGGUCCCAAAGUCAUGGUUAAGUGGGAAACGAUGUGGGAAGGCCCAGACAGCCAGGAUGUUGGCUUAGAAGCAGCCAUCAUUUAAAGAAAGCGUAAUAGCUCACUGGUCGAGUCGGCCUGCGCGGAAGAUGUAACGGGGCUAAACCAUGCACCGAAGCUGCGGCAGCGACGCUUAUGCGUUGUUGGGUAGGGGAGCGUUCUGUAAGCCUGUGAAGGUGUGCUGUGAGGCAUGCUGGAGGUAUCAGAAGUGCGAAUGCUGACAUAAGUAACGAUAAAGCGGGUGAAAAGCCCGCUCGCCGGAAGACCAAGGGUUCCUGUCCAACGUUAAUCGGGGCAGGGUGAGUCGACCCCUAAGGCGAGGCCGAAAGGCGUAGUCGAUGGGAAACAGGUUAAUAUUCCUGUACUUGGUGUUACUGCGAAGGGGGGACGGAGAAGGCUAUGUUGGCCGGGCGACGGUUGUCCCGGUUUAAGCGUGUAGGCUGGUUUUCCAGGCAAAUCCGGAAAAUCAAGGCUGAGGCGUGAUGACGAGGCACUACGGUGCUGAAGCAACAAAUGCCCUGCUUCCAGGAAAAGCCUC